rnacentral:lncRNA from 1 species
CUAAUAAUGGAGCAAAGUUGACUGCACAAUUUUUCUGUUGCUUCAGUUUUGUCUGGUAAAUAAAAUGCCUGGAAGGACAAAACAAAAAUGUCUAAUGGAAUAUAAUUCAAGAUAAGUAGGAGAAAACCUGAAAACAUCCAGCUGCCUUUGAUGAGUUUAGGUCACUAGGUCCAGAUGAACCACAUCUUCAAGUAUUAAAAGACCUUGAAAAAGUGAUUGCUGAACCACUUUCAGGGAUCUUUGAAGGGCCUCAGAGAAUAAGAGAGGCUUACGAAAUUCUUCACUCAAAGCAUCACUGUCAGAUUGGUCUUGUGGAAAAGAAGCUGCCCUUGUUAGCAAACCAAGUUCAAGAGUUUUGGAACUCAUCCUUGCUGAGAGAGAAAUCAAGUAAAGUCAAGAGGCAUUUAUUAAGCACCAGUGAGCUACCUUUUAUGACAACAACUUUGAAAAAAAAGAGAAAAAAAUUAAUUGAGAAAAACCUGACAUCAUAUAUAAUGUUUGACACCUGUGGAUGUCUACCACAUUGUGUCCCCAACAGUCACAGAAAAAGCAGAGUCAAGACAAUGUAUGUAUACUCUGGGAGCCUGAAAUAAAUGAAAAAGCUGACUUCAAGAGUGGGCCUGCUUGUUUGACACCUCUGAGCAUCAGUGAAGUACAAAUUGGAGGACAAAUUAAGGCCAGGUUUGGGAGUUCUGGAUUUGAUGGAAAGCAGAGAAGAGGGAACCCAUUGAAAGAGGAAAGAAGAUAUGUCUUUUCAUAUGAUGUUAAGUUGGAAGGGGCCUCAGAUGUCAUCUAUCCUGACACCCCAAUUUUACAGCUUCUCUAGACUGAGAGAACAACUGCUCUUUCAUCCAGAAUCUUCUGCUCCUCAAGAUUCCAAUCUCCUGGGACCCCUCCCCCAUCAAGAUAAAGAAGCUAAUGGCUAAGAAGGUUGCGACUCAUCCAAGCUCACUUAGAAAACAACUGUCAGAAGUAGAGUCUGAACUUCAUUCUUCUGACUCCUUCCAUCAAUCUUUCCAGUUUAAAUGACAUUUUCUCCCCUGAAGAUUAAAUAGCAUGGGAAUUAAAAAUCUUUCUGGAAGAUGUAUGGUAAAGUUAUUACUUGAAGAUAUACUGCAUAAUUGAGAUGAAUGUGAUAUGUUGUCCAGAGUCCUUGGCCCAUAUGUAUUAUUUUCCAAGAAAUGUGUGUAAAAUAUAAUUGUCCAUAAUCUUUAAUAAAGAUUAAGCUAUGAAAACA